UACGGAGGGUGCAAGCGUUAUCCGGAUUCACUGGGUUUAAAGGGUGCGUAGGUGGCUUUGUAAGUCAGUGGUGAAGUGCCGCAGCUCAACUGCGGAACUGCCAUUGAUACUGCUUAGCUUGAAUCACGUCGAGGUGGAUGGAAUAUUACAUGUAGCGGUGAAAUGCUUAGAUAUGUAAUAGAACACCGAUUGCGAAGGCAGUUCACUAGGCGUGUAUUGACACUGAGGCACGAAAGCGUGGGGAUCAAACAGG
rnacentral:rRNA from 1 species